rnacentral:rRNA from 1 species
GACGAACGCUGGCGGCGUGCCUAAUACAUGCAAGUAGAACGCUGAAGGAGGAGCUUGCUCUUCUGGAUGAGUUGCGAACGGGUGAGUAACGCGUAGGUAACCUGCCUGGUAGCGGGGGAUAACUAUUGGAAACGAUAGCUAAUACCGCAUAACAGUAGAUGUUGCAUGACAUUUGCUUAAAAGGUGCAAUUGCAUCACUACCAGAUGGACCUGCGUUGUAUUAGCUAGUUGGUGGGGUAACGGCUCACCAAGGCGACGAUACAUAGCCGACCUGAGAGGGUGAUCGGCCACACUGGGACUGAGACACGGCCCAGACUCCUACGGGAGGCAGCAGUAGGGAAUCUUCGGCAAUGGACGGAAGUCUGACCGAGCAACGCCGCGUGAGUGAAGAAGGUUUUCGGAUCGUAAAGCUCUGUUGUAAGAGAAGAACGAGUGUGAGAGUGGAAAGUUCACACUGUGACGGUAUCUUACCAGAAAGGGACGGCCAACUACGUG